AACGAACGCUGGCGGCAGGCCUAACACAUGCAAGUCGAACGAACUGCUCGGGGUUUGUGACGGGCGGGCGAGUAACAAGUGGGAAUGCGCUAUGAGGUUUAUAAGAGCGCAGGGACACUGAUUCUUAGAUUAAAAGCCCACGGCGGGGGAGAGAAUCAUCGCCAUUUGAUCGGACCUCGGCUGAUCAACUAGGUGGUGAGGUAAAGGCCCACCAAGGCGACGAUAAGUAGCUGGUAUGAGAGGAUGAUCAGCCACAUUGGGACUGAGACACGGACCAACCUCCUACGGGAGGCAGCAGUGGGGAAUCUUGGCCAAUGGGCGCAAGUCUGACACAGCCAUGCCGCGUGAAUGAUGAAGGUCUUAGGAUUGUAAAAUUCUUUCGACGGGGACGAUAAUGACGGUACCCGAAGAAGAAGCCCCGGCUAACUUCGUG
rnacentral:rRNA from 1 species